rnacentral:rRNA from 1 species
AUUGAACGCUGGCGGCAGGCCUAACACAUGCAAGUCGAACGGUAACAGGAAACAGCUUGCUGUUUCGCUGACGAGUGGCGGACGGGUGAGUAAUGUCUGGGAAACUGCCUGAUGGAGGGGGAUAACUACUGGAAACGGUAGCUAAUACCGCAUAACGUCGCAAGACCAAAGAGGGGGACCUUCGGGCCUCUUGCCAUCGGAUGUGCCCGGAUGGGAUUAGCUAGUAGGUGGGGUAACGGCUCACCUAGGCGACGAUCCCUAGCUGGUCUGAGAGGAUGACCAGCCACACUGGAACUGAGACACGGUCCAGACUCCUACGGGAGGCAGCAGUGGGGAAUAUUGCACAAUGGGCGCAAGCCUGAUGCAGCCAUGCCGCGUGUAUGAAGAAGGCCUUCGGGUUGUAAAGUACUUUCAGCGGGGAGGAAGGGAGUAAAGUUAAUACCUUUACUCAUUGACGUUACCCGCAGAAGAAGCACCGGCUAACUCCGUG